rnacentral:rRNA from 1 species
AACGAACGCUGGCGGCAUGCCUAACACAUGCAAGUCGAACGAAGUCUUCGGACUUAGUGGCGCACGGGUGCGUAACGCGUGGGAAUCUGCCCUUGGGUGCGGAAUAACUUCUCGAAAGGGAUGCUAAUACCGCAUAAUGUCGUAAGACCAAAGAUUUAAUCGCCCAAGGAUGAGCCCGCGUAAGAUUAGCUAGUUGGUGGGGUAAAAGCCUACCAAGGCGACGAUCUUUAGCUGGUCUGAGAGGAUGAUCAGCCACACUGGGACUGAGACACGGCCCAGACUCCUACGGGAGGCAGCAGUGGGGAAUAUUGGACAAUGGGCGAAAGCCUGAUCCAGCAAUGCCGCGUGAGUGAUGAAGGCCCUAGGGUUGUAAAGCUCUUUUACCAGGGAUGAUAAUGACAGUACCUGGAGAAUAAGCUCCGGCUAACUCCGUGCCAGCAGCCGCGGU